UGCUGCCGAUUAGGUGACCGCGAAUGGCUCAUUAAAUCAGUUAUGGUUCAUUAGAUUGUACCCACAUUUACUUGGAUAACUGUGGUAAUUCUAGAGCUAAUACAUGCAAAACAGAGUCCCGACCAGUGAUGGAAGGGACGCUUUUAUUAGAUCAAAACCAAUCGGUGGCGGGCGGUCCUCCGUCCGUCCACCGUUUAUUUUGGUGACUCUGAAUAACUUUGUGCUGAUCGCACGGUCCUAGCACCGGCGACGCAUCUUUCAAAUGUCUGCCUUAUCAACUGUCGAUGGUAGGUUCUGCGCCUACCAUGGUUGUAACGGGUAACGGGGAAUCAGGGUUCGAUUCCGGAGAGGGAGCCUGAGAAACGGCUACCACAUCCAAGGAAGGCAGCAGGCGCGCAAAUUACCCACUCCCGGCACGGGGAGGUAGUGACGAAAAAUAACGAUACGGGACUCAUCCGAGGCCCCGUAAUCGGAAUGAGUACACUUUAAAUCCUUUAACGAGGAUCCAUUGGAGGGCAAGUCUGGUGCCAGCAGCCGCGGUAAUUCCAGCUCCAAUAGCGUAUAUUAAAGUUGUUGCGGUUAAAAAGCUCGUAGUUGAAUCUGUGUCGCACACCGUCGGUUCACCGCUCGCGGUGUUUAACUGGCGUGAUGUGGGACGUCCUACCGGUGGGCUUAGCCCCGCGAGGGGCGGCCCAACUAAUAUCCCGUCGCGGUGCUCUUUACUGAGUGUCGAGUCGGGCCGGUACGUUUACUUUGAACAAAUUAGAGUGCUUAAAGCAGGCUAUCCUCGCCUGAAUACUGCGUGCAUGGAAUAAUGGAAUAGGACCUCGGUUCUAUUUUGUUGGUUUUCGGAACCCCGAGGUAAUGAUUAAUAGGGACAGAUGGGGGCAUUCGUAUUGCGACGUUAGAGGUGAAAUUCUUGGAUCGUCGCAAGACGGACAGAAGCGAAAGCAUUUGCCAAAAAUGUUUUCAUUAAUCAGA
rnacentral:rRNA from 1 species